rnacentral:rRNA from 1 species
CCUACGGGAGGCAGCAGUGGGGAAUAUUGCACAAUGGGGGAAACCCUGAUGCAGCGACGCCGCGUGAGUGAAGAAGGAAUUCGGUAUGUAAAGCUCUAUCAGCAGGGAAGAAAAUGACGGUACCUGAGUAAGAAGCCCCGGCUAACUACGUGCCAGCAGCCGCGGUAAUACGGAGGGGGCAAGCGUUAGCCGGAUUUACUGGGUGUAAAGGGAGCGUAGACGGCAGUGCAAGUCUGGAGUGAAAGGCGGGGGCUCAACCCCCGGACUGCUCUGGAAACUGUACGGCUGGAGUGCAGGAGAGGUAAGUGGAAUUCCUAGUGUAGCGGUGAAAUGCGUAGAUAUUAGGAGGAACACCAGUGGCGAAGGCGGCUUACUGGACUGUAACUGACGUUGAGGCUCGAAAGCGUGGGGAGCAAACAGGAUUAGAUACCCUUGUAGUC